AUACGUAGGGUGCGAGCGUUAAUCGGAAUUACUGGGCGUAAAGCGUGCGCAGGCGGUGCUGUAAGACAGGCGUGAAAUCCCCGGGCUCAACCUGGGAAUUGCGCUUGUGACUGCAGCGCUGGAGUGCGGCAGAGGGGGAUGGAAUUCCGCGUGUAGCAGUGAAAUGCGUAGAUAUGCGGAGGAACACCGAUGGCGAAGGCAAUCCCCUGGGCCUGCACUGACGCUCAUGCACGAAAGCGUGGGGAGCAAACAGGAUUAGAUACCCUGGUAGUCCACGCCCUAAACGAUGUCAACUGGUUGUUGGGAAUUUAAUGUCUCAGUAACGAAGCUAACGCGUGAAGUUGACCGCCUGGGGAGUACGGCCGCAAGGUUGAA
rnacentral:rRNA from 1 species